rnacentral:rRNA from 1 species
GAUGAACGCUAGCUACAGGCUUAACACAUGCAAGUCGAGGGGCAGCAUGGACAUAGCUUGCUAUGUUUGAUGGCGACCGGCGCACGGGUGCGUAACACGUAUCCAAUCUGCCGUUACUCGGGGAUAGCCUUCUGAAAGGAAGAUUAAUACCCGAUGGCAUGUAUUUCCGGCAUCGGAGAUACAUUAAAGAUUUAUCGGUAACGGAUGAGGAUGCGUACGAUUAGCUUGUUGGCGGGGUAACGGCCCACCAAGGCAACGAUCGUUAGGGGUUCUGAGAGGAAGGCCCCCCACACUGGAACUGAGACACGGUCCAGACUCCUACGGGAGGCAGCAGUGAGGAAUAUUGGUCAAUGGUCGGAAGACUGAACCAGCCAAGUAGCGUGAAGGAUGACUGCCCUACGGGUUGUAAACUUCUUUUGUUUGGGAAUAAAAGACGCUACGUGUAGCGUUCUGCAUGUACCUUACGAAUAAGCAUCGGCUAAUUCCGUGCCAGCCGCCGCAGUAAGAC